rnacentral:rRNA from 1 species
CCUACGGGUGGCUGCAGUGGGGAAUAUUGGACAAUGGGGGCAACCCUGAUCCAGCCAUGCCGCGUGUGUGAAGAAGGCCCUCGGGUUGUAAAGCACUUUCAGUGAGGAAGAACGCCUGGUGGUUAAUACCCAACAGGAAAGACAUCACUCACAGAAGAAGCACCGGCUAACUCCGUGCCAGCAGCCGCGGUAAUACGGAGGGUGCGAGCGUUAAUCGGAAUUACUGGGCGUAAAGCGCGCGUAGGUGGCUUGAUAAGCCGGUUGUGAAAGCCCCGGGCUCAACCUGGGAACGGCAUCCGGAACUGUCAAGCUAGAGUGCAGGAGAGGAAGGUAGAAUUCCCGGUGUAGCGGUGAAAUGCGUAGAGAUCGGGAGGAAUACCAGUGGCGAAGGCGGCCUUCUGGACUGACACUGACACUGAGGUGCGAAAGCGUGGGUAGCAAACAGGAUUAGAUACCCCGGUAGUC